rnacentral:circRNA from 1 species
AUCUGAACAGAAUUAAGACGAACGAGCUUUCACAAUUGCAGCAGAUGAAGAUCCAUUGGUAAAUUGAUCAGGAUUUUUGGCCUACCCUCCAAAGAAAAGGAGCGGAAAGAAUGUCGGAGCGGGCCGCGGAUGACGUCAGGGGGGAGCCGCGCCGCGCGGCGGCGGCGGCGGGCGGAGCAGCGGCCGCGGCCGCCCGGCAGCAGCAGCAGCAGCAGCAGCAGCAGCAGCCGCCGCCUCCGCAGCCCCAGCGGCAGCAGCACCCGCCACCGCCGCCACGGCGCACACGGCCGGAGGACGGCGGGCCCGGCGCCGCCUCCACCUCGGCCGCCGCAAUGGCGACGGUCGGGGAGCGCAGGCCUCUGCCCAGUCCUGAAGUGAUGCUGGGACAGUCGUGGAAUCUGUGGGUUGAGGCUUCCAAACUUCCUGGGAAGGACGGGACAGAAUUGGACGAAAGUUUCAAGGAGUUUGGGAAAAACCGCGAAGUCAUGGGGCUCUGUCGGGAAGACAUGCCAAUAUUUGGUUUCUGUCCAGCCCAUGAUGAUUUCUACUUGGUGGUGUGUAACGACUGUAAUCAGGUUGUCAAACCGCAGGCAUUUCAAUCACAUUAUG